CACCGCCCUAUUCGAGUCCUCAGGCACAGUACACGCCCCAAUAGUGUACGCAAUGGACCGCUGGAUCGGAAAGGUGGCGAUCGUAACCGGUGCAAGCUCGGGCAUUGGUGCAACCGCUGUGAAAGCCCUUGCCACCGCCGGCAUGGUUGUGAUCGGACUGGCCCGCCGUGCCGAGCGUGUUCUGGAGCUAAAGAAAAGUGUCCCACCGGAAGUGGCGCACCGAAUACACUCCCACCGCUGUGAUGUGACCAGUGAGCAAUCGAUAGUGGACGCUUUUGCGCUGAUCGACCAUCAGUUUGGCGGUGUGGACGUGCUGAUCAACAAUGCCGGUGUGUCGAAACUGACCUGCACCCUGCUGACGGCGGGCAAUGGGGCAGACUUACGCACGGUACUGGACACGAACGUGAUGGGUCUGGUGCUGUGCAGUCGCGAGGCAUUCCAAUCGAUGAAGCGCCGCUCGAUCGAUGGCCAUAUCGUGAACAUUAACAGCAUCCUCGGCCACAAGUACAUCGGCUUUCCGAACCUAAACAUCUACGGUGCAUCCAAGUAUGCCGUUACCGCGAUAACGGAAACGUUGCGCAAUGACCUGCGCAACGAAGGUACGCGGGUGAAGGUUACGAGCAUCAGCCCGGGCAUCGUGCGGACGGAGAUGGUCCCGGAGGGUGAACAGUUUCAAGAUACGCCCAUGCUGGAGGCGGACGAUGUUGUCGGUGCGAUUCUGUAUGCGCUCGGGACACCUCCUCAUGUGCAGGUGCACGAGGUUAUCAUCAAGCCGGUGGGCGAAAUGAAUUGAAUUCAAAAUAAGUUGUCUCCUUUCAUCAACAAUCAUUCAGAAUGUUUCACUGUCAAGGUGUAAAAGCAUUAAAUUACAAUAAAGGAUAUAUAAUUCUAAUUUUUUUUUUACUAAAACACACCUCCAAAGACCAUAGAGUGGUUUUGCUUACAGUCAGAAAUCUAGUUUGUUUGAUCAAACUAUCACGAACGUGCUGAGCAAUCACUCGUAAAGAAUAUUCAAGAGGAAUCAAGUCGCUACACUAUUAACGAUACCUUGAUUGCGCAACCUGUAGUGUGCACACGUGAGAACCACUUCACGUUAAUAUGAUGCAACGACUGCUUAAUAGGUGUUGCUAAUCUGCUGUAUCACUCUGUAGUGGAAACAGUGGCCCACAGAAGCACACUCAUAUUCCUAAUGACAAUCAUUAGAGUUUUUCUCCACUUCACAAAUCACCUCACCUCGGAGUUCAUAGUUUGAAGUUUUCCGUCAGCUGGCGCUAGUAUCGGAUGUCGCUAGUAGGGUAUAUGGUAAUGAAAGAGGUUGGAAUAGAAAUACAUAAUAGAUCCAAUAUUUCUGUAUUACACUUUUUCGUACUAAUGUAAAAACAUUGAUCUUAUUAUAUUUUAAAAGUGUUGAAACUAUUUUAGAAACUUUAUGAUCACAAAUGAAUGAUGAUAGUCGUGAAGAAUACAAGCAUUUUAGUUACUCUAGACCUUCUACUUAGAGAGAUUCUACUUUAAAGGGCUUCAAAG